rnacentral:ncRNA from 1 species
AAGUGAAAAGGGCAAAUCAUGGGAAACCAUGAGACGCAAAGCCAAGGGCCUGGACCAUGACGCAAGUUGUGGAUGGCAGCCGGUUGCCACA